rnacentral:rRNA from 1 species
UUCGGGUGAUUUGUUGGGCGUCGAGCGGCGGACGGGUGAGUAAUGCCUGGGAAAUUGCCCUGAUGUGGGGGAUAACCAUUGGAAACGAUGGCUAAUACCGCAUAACGUCUACGGACCAAAGAGGGGGACCUUCGGGCCUCUCGCUUCAGGAUAUGCCCAGGUGGGAUUAGCUAGUUGGUGAGGUAAUGGCUCACCAAGGCGACGAUCCCUAGCUGGUCUGAGAGGAUGAUCAGCCACACUGGAACUGAGACACGGUCCAGACUCCUACGGGAGGCAGCAGUGGGGAAUAUUGCACAAUGGGCGCAAGCCUGAUGCAGCCAUGCCGCGUGUAUGAAGAAGGCCUUCGGGUUGUAAAGUACUUUCAGUCGUGAGGAAGGCGUUGAAGUUAAUAGCUUCAUUGUUUGACGUUAGCGACAGAAGAAGCACCGGCUAACUCCGUGCCAGCAGCCGCGGUAAUACGGAGGGUGCGAGCGUUAAUCGGAAUUACUGGGCGUAAAGCGCAUGCAGGUGGUUUGUUAAGUCAGAUGUGAAAGCCCGGGGCUCAACCUCGGAACCGCAUUUGAAACUGGCAGGCUAGAGUACUGUAGAGGGGGGUAGAAUUUCAGGUGUAGCGGUGAAAUGCGUAGAGAUCUGAAGGAAUACCAGUGGCGAAGGCGGCCCCCUGGACAGAUACUGACACUCAGAUGCGAAAGCGUGGGGAGCAAACAGGAUUAGAUACCCUGGUAGUCCACGCCGUAAACGAUGUCUACUUGGAGGUUGUGGCCUUGAGCCGUGGCUUUCGGAGCUAACGCGUUAAGUAGACCGCCUGGGGAGUACGGUCGCAAGAUUAAAACUCAAAUGAAUUGACGGGGGCCCGCACAAGCGGUGGAGCAUGUGGUUUAAUUCGAUGCAACGCGAAGAACCUUACCUACUCUUGACAUCCAGAGAACUUAGCAGAGAUGCUUUGGUGCCUUCGGGAACUCUGAGACAGGUGCUGCAUGGCUGUCGUCAGCUCGUGUUGUGAAAUGUUGGGUUAAGUCCCGCAACGAGCGCAACCCUUAUCCUUGUUUGCCAGCACGUAAUGGUG